UAAGGAAUAUUGGUCAAUGGGCGCAAGCCUGAACCAGCCAUGCCGCGUGUAGGAUGAAGGUUCUAUGGAUUGUAAACUACUUUUGUACGGGAAAAAACCCUUGGUUUCCACCGAGGUUGAUGGUACCGUAAGAAUAAGGAUCGGCUAACUCCGUGCCAGCAGCCGCGGUAAUACGGAGGAUCCAAGCGUUAUCCGGAUUCACUGGGUUUAAAGGGUGCGUAGGUGGAAUGUCAAGUCAGUGGUGAAAUACUGUAGCUCAACUAUAGAACUGCCAUUGAUACUGUCAUUCUUGAGUACAUUUGAUGUGAGCGGAAUGUGUCGUGUAGCGGUGAAAUGCUUAGAUAUGACACAGAACACCAAUUGCGAAGGCAGCUCACAAAACUGUAACUGACACUGAGGCACGAAAGCGUGGGGAGCAAACAGGAUUAGAUACCCCUGUAGUCC
rnacentral:rRNA from 1 species